GCAUUGAGCUGUAUCUCCAGGCUUUUUAAAUUUUGAGACAGGAACAGGGGACCAAGGAAAAACACUGGUGACUGGCAACGAGAACCUGGUUGAGUUCGGAGAAUGCACGUAUGAUGCAUCUUACAGUUCUCUUACAUUGCCUCAGAGUCCGGCGCCACCGUGGGAUAAGAUGGUCAGUGCUUAGCUGUGAAAGAGCUCUUGCUGAAUUCUGAUGAAUCCCACUCUUCCUCAAGCACUGCUUUCAAAAGCACUGGCUGUGAGGCCUCUCAGUUGGGCCGUCUGGCUACCUGGAGGUCGGGAAGUCACAAAGCUCUCCCCACAUUCCACCAUUCACCAGGAUCAUUCUGCAAGGUUUGUAACCUUGCCAGUCGG